rnacentral:rRNA from 1 species
GACGAACGCUGGCGGCGUGCUUAACAGAUGCAAGUCGAACGGAAAGGCCCUGCUUUUGUGGGGUGCUCGAGUGGCGAACGGGUGAGUAACACGUGAGUAACCUGCCCUUGACUUUGGGAUAACUUCAGGAAACUGGGGCUAAUACCGGAUAGGAGCUCCUGCUGCAUGGUGGGGGUUGGAAAGUUUCGGCGGUUGGGGAUGGACUCGCGGCUUAUCAGCUUGUUGGUGGGGUAGUGGCUUACCAAGGCUUUGACGGGUAGCCGGCCUGAGAGGGUGACCGGCCACAUUGGGACUGAGAUACGGCCCAGACUCCUACGGGAGGCAGCAGUGGGGAAUAUUGCACAAUGGGCGGAAGCCUGAUGCAGCAACGCCGCGUGCGGGAUGACGGCCUUCGGGUUGUAAACCGCUUUCGCCUGUGACGAAGCGUGAGUGACGGUAAUGGGUAAAGAAGCACCGGCUAACUACGUG